CUGGCUUGUUUCUAUUUAGUAAUAUACUGGGGAUAAAAAGACAAGAGUCCAGAAGAUGCCACAUUCUUGAAGGUAUGUAGAAUGUGUCAAAGAAAGCUGAUUUAAUAAAAAGCAUGGACCAAGGCACAGAAUGCCACAUAUUAUAUAAUCACACUGGUCAGAGACAAAAGAAGC